GGGGCUGAGCACACUUCCUUGAGGGACUCCUUUGGAAAUUUUUCUUUCUUCGGAUAGGUUGUUGUUUACUCUUGUCCUUAUGCCUCUUCCGGAGUCCUUCUAUCCAUGUGUUGUCGUACGCCUUCGAGAUGUCCAGGAAUAUUGCUGUGGUUGGGUGGCUGCUGUUGAAGCCGGAUUUGAUGGCUGAUUCUAUUCGGAUUAGAUUGUCGGUGGUGGUACAUCCUCUUCGGAAUCCGGUUUGGACUUUCGGCAUGAUGUCAAUGAGACUGGUCUGUACGAUUCCGCUUCUCCGGGUGGAUUGCCUGGUUUGAGGAUGGGUGUGACGAUGGCACAUUUCCAAUCUUUUGGGAUGUAUCCUUCCCUGAACAUCAAGUUGAUUGUUUCUCGUAUCGAUGUCGCUCGGGAUGCCUUGGCUUGUUGCUGCUCGUCGGAGUUCUUCAAUUUGGGCUUUGAGGUCAUCGAUUUCUUGUCUGGUCGGAGCGUCUUCAUUGGUGUGGUGUCUCGCGAAGAUGGGGCAUGCUGCUGUUCCUGCUUCGUGGUCGUUUCCUUCGCACGUCGGGCACUUUGGUGGGCUGGUGCACUGUUGGUCUUCUUCAUGGGCACAGGCACAGGUUCUACACACUUGAACAACGGGGCAUGAUUCUUCCGGAUGUCCGAAUACCCAACACUUUCGGCACAGGAAUAGAGCCACUAACAAUGACAUACAGACAGAUUUCCGGGUAAAAAAAUAACAACGAGAACGCCCCACGAUGGACCCCUCCACAAAAAUGUAAGUAUAUUUUAUAACGCUUC